GACGAACGCUGGCGGCGUGCUUAACACAUGCAAGUCGAACGAUGAAGCAGAGACACGCGAGCUUCGGUUCAAAUUUCACUUCGGAUUAGUGGCAGACGGGUGAGUAACGCGUGAGCAACCUACCUCUUACAAAGGGAUAGCCUCGGGAAACCGUGAUUAAUACCAUAUGACACAUUCAUAAGGCAUCUUAAGAAUGUUAAAGCUACGGCGGUAAGAGAUGGGCUCGCGUCCCAUUAGCUAGUUGGUGAGGUAACGGCCCACCAAGGCGACGAUGGGUAACCGGCCUGAGAGGGUGACCGGUCACAUUGGAACUGAGGCACGGUCCAAACUCCGACGGGAGGCAGCAGUGGGGAAUAUUGCACAAUGGAGGGAACUCUAAUGCAGCGACGCCGCGUGAGCGAUGAAGGAAUUCGUAUCGUAAAGCUCGCUUCUAUGGGAAGAAAAGGACUGUACCAUAGGAGAAAGCCCCGGCUAAAUACGUG
rnacentral:rRNA from 1 species